AUAAGGUAAUAGUUUACAGGUGCCAUUGGAGAAUCAAUGGAGAAUAGGGAAUCGGGUGUAAAUCCCGGACGGACCCACCACUGUAAGGAGGAGCCACCGGCAAAACCACUGGGAGACUGGGAAGGUGCCGGGGGUGAGGAAUCUGAGUCAGGAGACCUGCCUGUAGACUUAUGACAUG
rnacentral:ncRNA from 2 species